UCCUUUAGAUGUUCUGGGCCGCACGCGCGCUACACUGAUCCGUUCAACGAGUUUUUCUCCCUUGGCCGUCGGGUCUGGGUAAUCUUUGAAAUCGGAUCGUGCUGGGGAUAGAUGAUUGCAAUUAUUCGUCUUCAACGAGGAAUUCCUAGUAAGCGCAAGUCAUUAGCUUGCGCUGAUUAAGUCCCUGCCCUUUGUACACACCGCCCGUCGCUCCUACCGAUUUCGAGUGAUUCGGUGAACCUUUUGGACAGCGUCUGUCCUCGUGUCAGAUGCUGAAAGUCAAGUAAACCAUAUCACUUAGAGGAAGGAGAAGUCGUAACA
rnacentral:rRNA from 1 species